AUACAUCCUAUCCAUUUCUUACUUCUCCUAGAUCACCAUAUUUCCUCCAACAUUGUGGACUUAGAUUUUCUCUUCAUGGUUCCGAGGGUAGAGGAAAUAGUUGUACUUCUAUAGAAGCAUAACAUCUCAACAAUCACCCCCGCGUUAUUCCACUGUGGAAGACUUAUCUAAUGAUGAAAUAAAAAAAUUUGGUCGAAAAUGAACCCAUUUUUCAUGCAAAUCCUUG
rnacentral:lncRNA from 1 species